GACGAACCGUGCGAACGUUGUUCGGAAUCACUGGGCUUAAAGGGCUCGUAGGCGGCCAACUAAGUCAUGCGUGAAAUCCCUCGGCUUAACCGGGGAACUGCGUCUGAUACUGGAUGGCUUGAGUUUGGGAGAGGGAUGCGGAAUUCCAGGUGUAGCGGUGAAAUGCGUAGAUAUCUGGAGGAACACCGGUGGCGAAGGCGGCAUCCUGGACCAAUACUGACACUGAGGAGCGAAAGCCAGGGGAGCAAACGGG
rnacentral:rRNA from 1 species